rnacentral:rRNA from 1 species
GGGGGAUGAGGGCGAAGCCUGAUCCAGCCAUGCCGCGUGUGUGAAGAAGGUCUUCGGAUUGUAAAGCACUUUAAGUUGGGAGGAAGGGCAGUAAAUUAAUACUUUGCUGUUUUGACGUUACCGACAGAAUAAGCACCGGCUAACUCUGUGCCAGCAGCCGCGGUAAUACG